UACGUAGGGUCCGAGCGUUGUCCGGAGUUACUGGGCGUAAAGAGCGCGCAGGCGGUCGUUCAAGUCGCGUGUGAAAGCCCCCGGCUCAACUGGGGAGGGUCACGCGAUACUGAUCGACUCGAAGGCAGGAGAGGGUAGUGGAAUUCCCGGUGUAGUGGUGAAAUGCGUAGAUAUCGGGAGGAACACCAGUGGCGAAGGCGACUACCUGGCCUGUUUCUUGACGCUGAGGCGCGAAAGCUAGGGGAGCAAACGGGG
rnacentral:rRNA from 1 species